UACGGGGGGGGCGAGCGUUGUUCGGAAUUACUGGGCGUAAAGGGCGCGUAGGCGGUGCUCUAAGUUAGAUGUGAAAACUCUGGGCUCAACCCAGAGCCUGCAUCUAAAACUGGAGUGCUAGAGUUCUGGAGGGGGUAGCGGAAUUCCUGGUGUAGCGGUGAAAUGCGUGGAUAUCAGGAGGAACACCGGUGGCGAAGGCGGCUACCUGGACAGAAACUGACGCUGAGGCGCGAAAGCUAGGGGAGCAAACAGG
rnacentral:rRNA from 1 species